rnacentral:rRNA from 1 species
GAUCCUGGCUCAGGAUGAACGCUGGCGGCGUGCUUAACACAUGCAAGUCGAACGGGAAAUAUUUUAUUGAAACUUCGGUAGAUUUAAUUUAUUUCUAGUGGCGGACGGGUGAGUAACGCGUGGGUAACCUGCCUUAUACUGGGGGAUAACAGCCAGAAAUGGCUGCUAAUACCGCAUAAGCGCACAGGACCGCAUGGUCCGGUGUGAAAAACUCCGGUGGUAUAAGAUGGACCCGCGUUGGAUUAGCUAGUUGGCAGGG